rnacentral:rRNA from 1 species
AUUGAACGCUGGCGGCAUGCCUAACACAUGCAAGUCGAACGAGUGGCGGACGGGUGAGUAAUAUCUGGGACCCUGCCUAAUCGAGGGGGAUAACUACUCUAAACGUUCGCUAAUACCGCAUACCCUCGGAUGUGCCCAUAUUGGAUUAGCUAGUAGGUGGGGUAACGGGUAACCUAGGCGACGAUCCCUAGCUGGUCUGAGAGGAGGACCAGCCACAUUGGGACGUAGACACGGUCCAGACGCCGACGGGAGGCAGCAGUGGGGAAUAUUGAACAAUGGAGGAAAGCCUGAUGCAGCCAUGCCGCGUGUAUGAAGAAGGCCGUCGGGUUGUAAAGGACUUGCAGCAGAGAAGCGGUAUCUGCAGAAGAAGCACCGGCUAACUACGUGCCAGCCGCCGCGGUAAUUC